rnacentral:lncRNA from 1 species
UGAAAAGUGACAAAACCCAAAAACAUUUGCCCCACAGGCACCAAGUAAUAUUAGCUGUUGGCUCCCAGGUUCUUCUAUUUAAAAAAAUUUUAUUGAAUAUAGUGUUCAGAGCUUCCGGGCCAUAUACCAGGGAGGAAGAGCGACUUAGUGUUAGCAGGUAAAAGGAAAUGAACUGGAGAUUGAGGGUAAGACAGAAAAGUAGAGACAGAAUCAGAAAGAAAGACAAAGGCUGAAAACCAAAGAAUCAGGGAUAGAAUGGCAGUGAAACACGGGGAGGAAGAACCCACCAAAAAACCGCCAAGGCAGACUAAGGGGGGGCUACGUUAGGUCAUAUCCAGGUGCCUCUUCAUCGGAUGCAGCAACCCGGCGAUCAACUUUUUUUGCAGCUAAAAUGGACAUAAAGGAAAAACCUUGCCCAAGGGUAUAUCCCAAGAGUAUAUCGUGGGCAAGAGAAUAGCUAGUAUGUCCUAUUGGCAAACACCCCCGUGCUUCAGUGAAUUAGAAUUUUCCCAGCUCCACACUUCUGUUCAUAUCCUUGCCCUCAGUUGUCAUCCUCCCUUCUCCUUGCUCUAAUAGUCCCACCUACCCUUCAAAACCUAGUUUAAAUCCUAACUGCUCCAUAAAGUCUAUUCUGGUCACCCCAAACUGAAGUUCUUCCCCACUCUUCUGAAUUUCCAGAGCAGUUAUUAACUUAUCUACUCUUGAUAGUCUAACUUUGUGUAACCUUAUGUUCUCUCAUCUAAGGCUGGCUUCAACUGUUACGGAAAUACGUUUUACCUGGGGCCCUUGGGUGGCUACAGUCGAUUGGGUGGUUGAGUGCCAUUGGACUCUAUUUUGGCUCAGGUCAUGAUCUCAGGGUCAUGAGAUCCAGCCCCUCUCUGCGCCCUCCCACCCCUGCAAUCAGGUUCAAGCGCAUACUCUCUCUCUCUUUCUCUGAAUAAAAUAUUUUUAAAAAUUAAAAAUAAAAAAUAUAUCUUAUUGAAGGUUCAACAUAUUUAUGUGCAAUAAUGAAUGGCUUCAAGCUGCAAUAAUGAAUGAGUAACAUUUAUAGAGUAUUUGCUGUUCUCCAGGUGAGAUUCUACAUAGAUUCUUUUUUUUUUUUUUAAGAUUUUAUUUAUUUAUACAUGAGAGACACAGAGAGAGAAGCAGAGGGAGAAGCAGGCUCCCCGAGGCAGGACUCAAUCCCAGGACCCUGGGAUCAUGACCUGAGUCAAAGGCAUAUUCUCAACCGUUGAGCCACCCAGGUGCCCCUUCUUCAUGGAUUCUUUCAUUGAAUCCUCAUGCCAACUUUACAACCGUCUCCCCUUUACGGAUGUGGAGACUGAGGUCUAGAGGAAUAACUCUCUCCAAGGCCACAUGGAUGCUGAAUGUGUCUGGGUUGUCAGAUUCAAGAGUCCAGUGCCUAGCACUCAAAGAAAUGUUUUGUCCCAGAGUACAGGCCUUCCCUUCCUGAGUACAAAGUAGCUACUCGAUAAAUUGUUAUGAUUGGAUUUUAUUCCAAGUACCCAGUAC